rnacentral:rRNA from 1 species
GUUUAGUAUUUGGUCGUAGACCCGAAACCAGGUGAUCUACCCUUGGUCAGGUUGAAGUUCAGGUAACACUGAAUGGAGGACCGAACCGACUUACGUUGAAAAGUGAGCGGAUGAACUGAGGGUAGCGGAGAAAUUCCAAUCGAACCUGGAGAUAGCUGGUUCUCUCCGAAAUAGCUUUAGGGCUAGCCUCAAGUGAUGAUUAUUGGAGGUAGAGCACUGUUUGGACGAGGGGCCCCUCUCGGGUUACCGAAUUCAGACAAACUCCGAAUGCCAAUUAAUUUAACUUGGGAGUCAGAACAUGGGUGAUAAGGUCCGUGUUCGAAAGGGAAACAGCCCAGACCACCAGCUAAGGUCCCAAAAUAUAUGUUAAGUGGAAAAGGAUGUGGCGUUGCCCAGACAACUAGGAUGUUGGCUUAGAAGCAGCCAUCAUUUAAAGAGUGCGUAAUAGCUCACUAGUCGAGUGACACUGCGCCGAAAAUGUACCGGGGCUAAACAUAUUACCGAAGCUGUGGAUUGUCCUUUGGACAAUGGUAGGAGAGCGUUCUAAGGGCGUUGAAGCAUGAUCGUAAGGACAUGUGGAGCGCUUAGAAGUGAGAAUGCCGGUGUGAGUAGCGAAAGACGGGUGA